CCUACGGGAGGCAGCAGUGGGGAAUAUUGGACAAUGGGGGCAACCCUGAUCCAGCAAUUCUGUGUGCACGAAGAAGGUUUUCGGAUUGUAAAGUGCUUUCAGCAGGGAAGAAGAAAGUGACGGUACCUGCAGAAGAAGCGACGGCUAAAUACGUGCCAGCAGCCGCGGUAAUACGUAUGUCGCAAGCGUUAUCCGGAAUUAUUGGGCAUAAAGGGCAUCUAGGCGGCCCUGUAAGUCUAGGGUGAAAACCUGCGGCUCAACCGCAGGCCUGCCCCGGAAACUACAGGGCUAGAGUAUCGGAGAGGUGGACGGAACUGCACGAGUAGAGGUGAAAUUCGUAGAUAUGUGCAGGAAUGCCGAUGAUGAAGAUAGUUCACUGGACGGUAACUGACGCUGAAGUGCGAAAGCUAGGGGAGCAAACAGGAUUAGAUACCCCUGUAGUC
rnacentral:rRNA from 1 species